rnacentral:rRNA from 1 species
GCUUGCGCUCGGAUAAGAGAAGAGUCUCAUCCGGUAGAGCGAAUGAUUAGAGGCAUUGGGGUCGAAACGACCUCAACCUAUUCUCAAACUCCAAAUAGAUGAGAACCCCGGCUUUCUAAAACGAAGCCGUGGACUCGGAUCAAAGUGCCAAGUGGGCCAAUUUUGGUAAGCAGAACUGGCGCUGUGG